rnacentral:lncRNA from 1 species
GUGUUUUAGAGAGGAAUAACUAUGUCCAUGAUGUCUGACUUUAAAGAAUUGAUGAAAUAAAGUAUGGUGUGAGCCUCAAUGAGACAGUAACCCUUCAAUGAAAGUACACAAUCACACUUAACAAAUCAUUAAUGCAGGAAAAAAGACAACACUAUAUAGAAUUUAGACCCCCUUAAAAGAUUUAUUUUUCUUGUUAAUAGGGAC